AGAGUUUGAUCCUGGCUCAGGACGAGCGCUGGCGGCGUGCCUAAUACAUGCAAGUCGAACGCAUUUUCUUUCACCGUAGCUUGCUACACCGAAAGAAAGUGAGUGGCGAACGGGUGAGUAACACGUGGGUAACCUGCCCAUCAGCGGGGGAUAACACUUGGAAACAGGUGCUAAUACCGCAUAAUUCCAUUUACCGCAUGGUAGAUGGAUGAAAGGCGCUUUUGCGUCACUGAUGGAUGGACCCGCGGUGCAUUAGCUAGUUGGUGGGGUAACGGCCUACCAAGGCUGCGAUGCAUAGCCGACCUGAGAGGGUGAUCGGCCACACUGGGACUGAGACACGGCCCAGACUCCUACGGGAGGCAGCAGUAGGGAAUCUUCGGCAAUGGACGCAAGUCUGACCGAGCAACGCCGCGUGAGUGAAGAAGGUUUUCGGAUCGUAAAACUCUGUUGUUAGAGAAGAACAAGGAUGAGAGUGGAAAGUUCAUCCCUUGACGGUAUCUAACCAGAA
rnacentral:rRNA from 1 species